AACGAACGCUUGCGGCGUGCCUAACACAUGCAAGUCGAACGAGAAAUCUUGCUUGCAAGAUGAGUAAAGUGGCGCACGGGUGAGUAACGCGUGGGUAAUCUGCCUUUGGGACAGGGAUAACACUCCGAAAGGGAUGCUAAUACCUGAUACGAUGCGAACUUCAAAGGAGUUUGCAUGAAAGGUGACCUCUUCCUUGAAAGUUGCCGCUCGAAGAUGAGCCCGCGUCCCAUUAGCUUGUUGGUGGGGUAAUGGCCUACCAAGGCGAAGAUGGGUAGCUGGUCUGAGAGGAUGAUCAGCCACACUGGAACUGAGACACGGUCCAGACUCCUACGGGAGGCUG
rnacentral:rRNA from 1 species